rnacentral:rRNA from 1 species
CCUACGGUGAGCUGCAGUGGGGAAUAUUGGGCAAUGGAGGAAACUCUGACCCAGCAACGCCGCGUGAAUGAUGAAGGUCUUCGGAUUGUAAAGUUCUUUUCUAAGGGAAGAAGAAAGUGACGGUACCUUAGGAAUAAGCCUCGGCUAACUACGUGCCAGCAGCCGCGGUAAUACGUAGGAGGCAAGCGUUAUCCGGAAUGACUGGGCGUAAAGGGUGCGUAGGUGGUUCAGCAAGUUAGUAGCGUAAUUCCGGGGCUCAACUUCGGCACUACUACUAAAACUGUUGGACUUGAGUGCAGGAGGGGCAACUGGAAUUUCUAGUGUAGCGGUGGAAUGCGUAGAUAUUAGGAAGAACACCAGUGGCGAAGGCGAGUUGCUGGACUGUAACUGACACUGAGGCACGAAAGCGUGGGGAGCAAACAGGAUUAGAUACCCCAGUAGUC